CGCGGUAUUUUGACCGUGCAAAGGUAGCAUAAUAAUUAGUUUUUUAAUUGAAAGCUGGAAUGAAUGGUUGGACGAGAAAACUACUGUCUCUGGUUAAUUUUAUAUAAAAUUUUAUUUUUAAGUUAAAAAGCUUAGAUUUUGAUAAAAGACGAGAAGACCCUAUAGAGUUUAAUAUUUUUUGAAAUUUAUUAUUUGAAGAAUUUAUUUUUUUAUUUUAAUUAUAUAUUUUGUUGGGGUGACGGAAAAAUUUAUUUAACUUUUUUUUUAUUUUUGCAUUAAUAUAUGUUUACUUGAUCCAUUUUUGAUUAUAAGAAUAAAUUACCUUAGGGAUAACAGCGUAAUCUUUUUGGAGAGUUCUUAUCGAUAGAAGGGAUUGCGACCUCGAUGUUGGAUUAAAAUUAAUUUUUGGUGUAGAAGCUGAAAUAUUAAGUCUGUUCGACUUUUAAAAUUUUACAUGAUCUGAGUUUAAACCGGUGUGAGCCAGGUUGGUUUCUAUCUUUAUUAUUUUAUUAUACUUUAGUACGAAAGGACCAAGUAUGGAAUAUAUUUAUUUUUUAUUGAAUUUUAUUGUUACUUUGGCAGAAUAGUGCAAUGGAUUUAGAAUCUUUUUAUGUAAAUUUUUACAGGUAAUAUUUGUUUAUUUUUGAUAUUGUUU
rnacentral:rRNA from 1 species